GGGACAAUAUAUAGAGAGGUAUAUAGAACGUCAAACGUCACGAGUUAAAAUUUCCCAAGAUUCAGUUAUCUUUUUCCCGCCAAACGUCAAGAUUAAGUUAUACUUCACGGCCGAGUUACUUUAACAUUUACGGCUGACUUAGUAAUUGGGAUUUAGGGUUUAGGGUUCCUUAUUUAGGGUUUAGGUUUGCUUUUUUGGGGAUUUUGGUUUAGGAUUUGGAUUUAUGGUGCAAUAAAUAUAAUAAAUAACACAAAUUCAUGAUAAAUAACACAAUAAUAGUUUACGAGUUUUAAAUAUUGGUCACACCUUAUAUCUAAAUGUAAGGUUUUAAGUAAUCGUAUGACAACAUAUACAUCAAGAACAUGAUCGAUUUUAAACUCGUAAAUUCAAUAAAGAAGACACAUUCAGUUGAUUAUAUAUUCACUUCAAAUUGAUAAUUGUUGUUUCAAUAUAACAUUUUAAAGUAUAAACAUUUCAUCUUUUUGAUUCUAGUGUAUGUUUGAGGUAUGGCUGAGUUAUAAUAGCGUAACGGCUGACUUAUAUGAACAUUUUCGAUUUUAGAGUAUGUUUGGGGUAUGGCUGAGUUAUAAAAACGAUAAGACUGA
rnacentral:lncRNA from 1 species